UGCCCGAUAGAACACUAUACCUGGAAUGGUUUGUGUUCCAAAUGAUUUAUCGCCAUAGGAUGGGACUGCGGCCUAUCAGUUUGUUGGUGAGGUAAUGGCCCACCAAGACUAUUACAGGUACGGGCUCUGAGAGGAGUAGCCCGGAGAUGGGUACUGAGACACGGACCCAGGCCCUAUGGGGCGCAGCAGGCGAGAAAACUUUGCAAUGUGCGAAAGCACGACAAGGUUAAUCCGAGUGAUUUGUGCUAAACGAAUCUUUUGUUAGUCCUAGAAACACUAACGAAUAAGGGGUGGGCAAGUUCUGGUGUCAGCCGCCGCGGUAAAACCAGCACCUCAAGUGGUCAGGAUGAUUAUUGGGCCUAAAGCAUCCGUAGCCGGCUCUGUAAGUUUUCGGUUAAAUCUGUACGCUUAACGUACAGGCUGCCGGGAAUACUGCAAAGCUAGGGAGUGGGAGAGGUAGACGGUACUCGGUAGGAAGUGGUAAAAUGCUUUGAUCUAUCGAUGACCACCUGUGGCGAAGGCGGUCUACCAGAACACGUCCGACGGUGAGGGAUGAAAGCUGGGGGAGCAAACCGGAUUAGAUACCCGGGUAGUCCCAGCUGUAAACUAUGCAAACUCAGUGAUGCAUUGGCUUGUGGCCAAUGCAGUGCUGCAGGGAAGCCG
rnacentral:rRNA from 1 species